CUUCCAUUGUUAGUGAAGAUUGCUAGGAGCCAUGGGACUGCAUUAAGCGUGCACAUUAGCUGCAAUAUAAAAUCAAACCAAACCCUGUUCUUACUUGACAAAGCUCAUGACCUAAGUAUAAAAUGAGAUGACAGUAAGAAGUGGCUGCAGCCAUAACAUAUCAACAGUCCAAGCUUUAUUAACUCAAGGGAGGGAGCAGGGCGUUACGACAGAGGUGAACUUUACGGGGGGGGGAAAGGAGUGAGCUUGAUGGGCUUUAUUUUUCAUUAUUACAGGCAUAAAAGACAUUGAAAUAGGGUUCCUUCCAGGACAGUGGCCAUUGAUACCGUUCACUGAUCUGACAUAGGUCACCUGCCAUCUACUAAGCUAUAAAUAUUGUUAGAAUAUCAUCAGAGUUUUCGAGCUCUGAGAUCUGUGGGACCUUUCUGGUGACUGGCAUAAGCAGCUUAUUAAAAGCGAGUUGUUGGCAGCCAUGGCGGGGAUGUCUGGUGAUGCAUCUGAAAAGCGUGACCAGAGAACGGCACCGUACUCAGUAAUUAUUGAAUGCUUUGAAUACCCUUGUAAUCUUUAAUGUAACGUGGGCUGUACAAGAUACUUAGCAAACGCAAAGUAAAAAUGUGUAGUAUCUGUCAGCUACAUUUCUGACCUUUUCAGGAAAGGUGGGGCUCAUUAAAAUAGAGAUUUACAUAAACUAAUGAUGUGGUCACAGAAAUCUGCUACUAAAAUGGGUUAUAAACAAUGUUACAAAUGAUUAAAUUUCAAGCCCCAGACAGCAUGCAUUGCUGUAACAAAUGCAGCAAUCUUUCUAUCCUCAGAUGGUAUAUUUGCAAAGGUACGUUCAUGCCUAUGUUGUAAGGAGUCAUGAGGGAUCUGUGACCUAAACCUGCACUCCUUGUAGAGUCAGCUCUCCGUGACCCUAAAAUUUGACUGCAUGUGCCAAAGCACAGUUUGCAUUCCAGAUAUCUCCCCAUUCCUACCCUUGGAGUCAACAUAUGUUUUUGGGAUGAUGGUCUUUGGUACCUUAGGAAACAACAGCAAGCUUCAUUUGGCCCUUGUCUUUACCAUAUUUCUCAGUGAAUGGUGCUGUGGGCCAAGUUACUCAUUUGGAAAGAAGGGUAGAGAAAACCAGCACAGUGGAUUCUGGGAGAUUAAAAAAAAAGUCACCUUAGUAAAAGUCCUCCUAAAAUAAAUGCUUCUGAACGUCGAUGAUAAGAGCUGCCUUCGUGAGGGUGCUAAUUUUUAAAUCACUCAGUAAACUAUCUUAGUUUGUAAGGACUUUGGAAGAAAACGUGCGUCCUGAAAGUAAAAAAACAUGAAUAAUUUUUGAUGUAAUUGAAUAUAAUUAUGCUUUGCAUAAAACCAGUGGGAUAAUGAUUUGAUCAGAAAAAAAUAAACAGAAAAAAAGAAAAUAGAUAUCUAAAGCAGUCUGUUCUUCUUUCACUUCUGUUAUAAAGUUCGGAUUACAGUAGUUAGGCUCCAUUAUAUCAGAAACCAGAAGGCUCAGUGGGUGCAUGUUAAUCACUUGGUAAGAAAUUAAAGACAGAUAUUAGAGUAGAUUUAAAAAAAAAAAAAAAAAGGGGGAAGUGAUGUUGAAGCCAAAUCUGUCCAAUCUGAUGCGUUGUCACAGGCUUCCAUUGGUCCCAAAGUCCCGUGAGGCUUCCAGGCUUCAACUGAAGUGAAUUGAGGUAGAGGUGUUCAGAAGGGCUUUUAAGCUUUUCAGGAGUGUCCUGUUCUUACAUAUUAUGAUCCCUGCCAGCUGUUGCGGAGAACAAUCUGUCCUCUGGUUUAGUUUACCUGCCUGAGACAACAAAAAUCCAGUAAAUCAACACUGUGCUGUGGUGCGAGUGCUCCGUGGGCCAUGCAGUAGGAGUGUGGCUGCUGCCUGGGCUUGGUCAUGUCUGCUGCUCUGCAUGUCUGCAUAUCAUAUUUCAGACAUUAAAAAGUAACGUACAAGAGGUGCAAGCAGAGGACUGCAGCCCAUGGAGAGAGAGCCUGAGAAGGAGUAGAGAAGUAAGGAGUGAAAGGAUGUGAAAGUAAGGAGCACUCCCAUGUGCUGAUCUCACCUCCUGUGCCACCGGCAUUAGGGGUGGAAGACUCCACACUGAAGCUGAGAUGGGAAAGGGAAUAUAUGUGCUGCUGACUCUAUUAGUGGCCUUCAGUAUCUCUUCAUCUCAAACAACACUGGAGAGAAGUUGUACGGCACUACAAAGGCUGAAAGUGCUAUGUUAGUAAUUGCUUCAAGAAUACUAUUUGCCUUCUGCCAAGAGAAAGGUAGGGAUCAAUCUGCAAGUCUUCUCUCUCAUGUGUAUUAAAAAAAAUGUCUGAGAUUCCACACAUUAUCACAUUCCAUUAAUAGUCCCAUUAAUCUAACCCACACUACAAGACAUGAAAAACCUAAAAUAAAGAGUGGCGUGUCCCUUUUUCUUUCAAGUCUGACUCUGAAGUGCUCCCAUCUAACAACAGAAGGUAGAAAUUAGUCGGUUUAGAAGCUUUUUUCUCCUUCAGUUGCAUAGUCAGAAGUCCCU
ensembl:lncRNA